CUGCUGUUCAGACACCUGGGGCCUCAUGUAUAAAGCGUGCUUACGCACAAAAACGUGUCAUACAUCCGUCUCCAUGCUCACAUUCAGAUGUAUCAAAAGUGAUAUGACCAUGGAAAUGUGCGGUGCAUCACGCAUAAAUU